AGGCCGACAGGCGUAGUCGAUGGGUAACCAGUUGAUAUUCUGGUACCGGCUUGUCACCGUCCGUGUCGAGGUGUGUGAUGCUAAGCAUGUGAGCUUGUCUUGGGAGUGUUUUUGAUGCUUCUGGGGUGGGUGAGUGUGUGAACCGAUCAUGUAGUAGGCAAGCUGCGGAGGGACGCAGUGAGGUAGCUCAUCCCCGGUGAUGGUUGUCCGGGGCUAAGUGUGUGGACUGUCUGGUAGGUAAAUCCGCUGGGCGUGAAGGUUGAGGCAUGAUGGGGA
rnacentral:rRNA from 1 species